rnacentral:lncRNA from 1 species
CUCAGCUACACACAGGGUAUUUCAGAGACUUGCAACUGAGAAACUGAAUGUUCCAUCUCCAGAUAGCCAGCUUCAUUACGUCUUCUUUCCUUCACUCCAUUUUCUGCUUUUUUCAUCUGUUAACAGUUCUUGUUGCUCCUCAUUUUAGGGCUUCCAAGACAUCCUCAAAUACUCUCUUGCUGGUGUUAUCAAACCAAGCUGGGGUCUGCUCACUCAGUGCGGCAAAGCCAAACACUGACAUAGGGACUGCAGUGAGAGAAAGUGAGGCAUUUAUGGCAAGGCACCAAGCAAGAAGAGGUGAGCAGCUAACGCUGAAGACUCCAACUUCCCAAUGACUUACAGAUGAGAAAAAUCAAGAAUGAGGAGAGUUAGUACCAUGCAGAUGGUCCCAGGAUGAAACCAGAAUAUGAACUCAGGCAGUCCAGCUGCUCAACCUGUGUUCUUAACCUUCAUGCAUAUCAUGUGCCAGCCCUGUGUUGUGAUGGGUACUUGGGAAGAUGCCCACAAAAAGCACAUGAUACCUGUUCUCAAGAAGCUCACAGGCUGACGUAACAAAGUGCCACAAACUGGGUGGCUUAAAACAACAGAAAUUUAUUACUGCAUAGUUCUGGAGACUAGAAAUCUGAAACCAAGUUGUUGGCAGGUCCACGCUCCCUCAGAACCCUCUAGGGGAGAAUCCUUCCUCGCCUCUUCCAGCUCAGGUUCUAGCCACCUCCCGCAUUCAGAUACAACCACCAUCGCAGGUUGACUGUGUUCCCUGUCGUUUAAUCUUUCUCUACUUUGACAGGCUGCUCUGGAAGAAGCAGACCAUUUCCUGAGGUGUAAACAUAGCUUCUGAUAAUGCCAACCUCAUGAGGUCAGUCUGCUCUCGGAAGUCCACUGGUCAACUACAGAGCUCAGAUACACAUUUCCUCUUCAAGGUUUCUUGGAGUAAGAUGAAGAUAUGAACUGACAUCUUUGAUGGAAACCAUGGAGCAAAAAUCAGGCCGUUUGUGAGGAUAUCUUCAGACACCUUGUCAAGCUGAAGUCACAGCAGAGUGGUAUCUGGCCCUACCCAAAAAUCUCAGCCAUCCUUUGAGAAGGUAGGUUAGAAAAUGCAAUUCUGUGGAAAGUCUGAUUAUGGGGAUAGGAGCCCAGUGCAAUGUAGCUUCUAUCCAACUCCUGAACUUCUAUGUGAGUGCCCUCUUCCCUCAGAAAGCCAGCGUGCUCCUCUAACUGGACACUGCAUGUGAACAUUUGCUGCUUCUUUAUUUUUUCUGUUUCUACUCCAAAUAUGGAAAGUCUUUUGGUGUCAGAUGAGCAGAGGAUAUGGCCAGUGGGUAUGGCCACGAGGCUGGAACACAGAUCCUGGGUAAAAAGCUUAGAGUAAGCAGAGAAAAUCUACCAUCUGCAAAUAAAAUCUAGCAAAACCUAUGUAUUUGAUACCUGUGUUUUCAUGUUUUAAAAAUGAAUAUUUUCUUUACAAAAUCCUAUGUCCCAGGGUUUUUCUUAAUGUAUUUGAAUAAAACUCUGGAUUUGAUAUCCUGAAAUCACAAUAGUUUUCCCAUUCAGGAACCCAACCGAUUCCUAUUGCAUAAAAGAGGGUAUAUCUGAGUUUUCAAGCAACACAAGUUACCAGAUAUUUUUCAUCUUCUCUGAGGACUGAGGAGGAAGAGACAGAUAUACCCAGAGGAUAGAAGAACAAUGUACAUUAUUUAGACGACGGAAUUUUCUCUGUGUUCAAAUUAUUAAGCUCUGAGAUCUUCUCUCAGUGCCCAUCAGAAAGGGGGCACCCAGAAACACCUCAUGAUGCAGAUAAUAAAAUGGUCAUAAACACUGGAAGAGUUUGCCCUGAAAAACAAAAUUCUUUUAAGUAGAUUGAAUAAAUAGGUGGCCAUAGAGGCAAAGGAAUUGCCUGUAUAAAUAAUGAAAUAUUCUUUAGCUUUGUUAUUCCAGAAAUGCACACAAUAUCCAGAAUUAAUAUUCCAGAAUCCCAUGAAUGUUUUUAUCAUAUUUUCUUCCACCUUACCAGAUAGUACUUGCAUAUUUAUGAUACACGGGGAUUUAAAUAUCUUUUUAAAAACCCACUCUUGUCCAUGAGAAAACAAUAACUGAAUGCAAGGGUCCCAUACUUUUUCUGUAAAGGGCCAGAUAAUACAUGUUUUUUGGCUUACAUGCCAGAUGGUUUCUGUCACAACUACUCAACUCUGCCAUUACAGUGCAAAAGCAGCCAUAAACAAUAAGUAAACAAAUGAGCGUGGCUGUGUUCCAAUAAAACUUUAUUUACUAAAACAGGUGGUGGGCCAGAUUUGGCCCACUAGCUAUAGCUUGCUGAUUCCUGAUCCGGAAGAAUGACUCCCAAUCUAUGGACUACAGACUCAUGGCAGAUCUGCAAUUUAUAGAAAAGAAAAUUCAAAUCCAUAUGCACACCAAGAAC